CAGCGUUGUAGCGGGCGCUUACAGAGUGUCUAUUCCAGUGGGAUCGAUAAACUCCAGCAGGCUUCGCAGUGCAGGGAGCUGGGGACAGCCCGGGAACAGCAGGAUGCACUGAGAAUGGAGGGGGGAUUACCAGAACUGCGGAAGAUGAAGAUCCGAGAGUUCACGCUUUUCUCUCACAAGCUGUCAUGCGGGAGAACAGACUGCGGCCAGCUUGACGGCUUGUCCGACCCUUGCAAGUGGUUUCAAGCAUGUUUAGGACAGUAAACCUUGUUUGCGAGCACAAGUUCUCUUUAUGACACAAAGCUUGUUCGAGAAGAAGACAGGCAAAUUCAUCACGCUCCAUACUAGCAAUAAAUAAGAACGUUCACGCUUGAUUGCCGAGAAUAUGCACGUACGCAUGCUGGACCGAGCGUUUUAGAGCAAUAUGUUCGUUUAGCCGCAGGAGCCCUGGUUUAAGGGCACCUCCCACACAAGCAGUCUUUUCUUUUUUCUUAAAUAAAUGUUUCUCCUCCUC